rnacentral:rRNA from 1 species
UACAGAGGGUGCAAGCGUUAAUCGGAAUUACUGGGCGUAAAGCGUGCGUAGUCGGUUAUUUAAGUCGGGCGUGAAAGCCCCGGGCUCAACCUGGGAAUGGCGAUGGAUACUGGACAGCUAGAGUGUGUCAGAGGAUGGUGGAAUUCCCGGUGUAGCGGUGAAAUGCGUAGAGAUCGGGAGGAACAUCAGUGGCGAAGGCGGCCAUCUGGGACAACACUGACGCUGAAGCACGAAAGCGUGGGGAGCAAACAGG